rnacentral:misc_RNA from 1 species
GAAAUGCGAUAAGUAGUGUGAAUUGCAGACUUUAGUGAAUCAUCGAAUCUUUGAACGCACAUUGCGCCCUUUGGCAUUCCACUGGGCAUGCCUGUUCGAGCGUCAUACAAACUCUCAAGUUGAACUUGGUGUUGGGUGUCUGCCCCGCUCACCGCGUGGGCUCGCCUGGAAAACAUUGGUAGUGAACCCGCCCGCCUUAUGCGCAGCACUUCGCGUCCCAUGAGGCCCAGGGUGGGCUCGCACCCCGUAAAAACCCCGUCGUUUGACCUCGAAUCAGGUAGGGAUACCCGCUGAACUUAA